AACGGAGGGAACAAGUGUUAUUCGUAUUGAUGGGUGUAAAAUGCGUGUAGAUGGUAUUUCUAGUUUUGCAUUAAAUUUUUAUUGUUUAAGUAAAAAGAUGUAAAUUAUACGGCUAUACUAGAGUAUUAUAAAACAACAGUAUCUUAAGUGUAAGAUGAUAUUUUAAAAUAUUUUUGAGACUAGCAAUAGGCGAAAGCGGUGUUAAGAAUUAAACUGACAUUGAAACGUUAAAGCUUAGUAGCAAAUAGGAUUAGAUACCCUAGUAGUCUAGGCUUCACCGAUGAAUGUUUAUUGUGUAUUUUGUAUGCAAUAAGUUAACGCGUAAAUAUUCUACCUGAGUACUACGGCCGCAAGGUGAAACUCAAAGAAAUUGGCGGAAAAUUGUACCAGCGGUGGAUAUGUGGUUUAAUUUGAGAAUACGCAAAAAACCUACCAAUCAAUGUAUGUUUACUUUUGUUGUAUACCCCGUGAUUUUUAAAGUUUAUUUGUAUUUUUGAAGAUUAAUACGCUUAUACAGGUGCUGCAUGGCUGUCUUAAGUCGUGUUGUCAAAUGUCAGAUUUAUUCUUUAACGGACGCAACCCAUACUAAAAUUUAUUGUGAUUUUAGAAUUUUUCUUUAACUAAAAAAUGAAAAGUGGUUACGUCAAGUCGAUAUGGCCUUAAUGGGUUGGGCUACACACGUAAUACAAAGGUGUAUAUAAUAGAUACGAUAAUGUGAAUUAAAGUAUAUCUUUAAAAUAUAUCUCAGUUCGAAUAUUCUCUGUAACUCGAGAAUAUGAAGGAGGAUCGCUAGUAAUCGCAAAUUAGAAUGGUGCGGUGAAUACACACUCGAUUU
rnacentral:rRNA from 1 species